rnacentral:rRNA from 1 species
CACGUAGGGUGCAAGCGUUGUCCGGAAUCAUUGGGCGUAAAGAGCUCGUAGGCGGCUUAGUAAGUCGGGUGUGAAAACUCUAGGCUCAACCUAGAGACGCCACCCGAUACUGCUAUAGCUAGAAUCCAGUAGGGGAGUGUGGAAUUCCCAGUGUAGCGGUGAAAUGCGCAGAUAUUGGGAGGAACACCAGUGGCGAAGGCGGUUGCCUGGGGCUUUGCUGACGCUGAUGCGCGAAAGCGUGGGGAGCGAUCCGG